UCCCAUCAGGAGAAGAUGUGACCAAUGCCCAAAGACCAUCGGGUGCUCCCCUGGGGGUCUGACCUCAAUCAGGACAGUCCUCCUUAGGUGUGGUCAACAUCCUUUCUCUAAGAAGUUUCUAAGGGCAGGGAUCCUAUGUUGCCACCUGAGAACCUCACUUCCUAGCUCCAGCAAGGCCUUGUGGGAGGGGCCCUUAAUGAUGACAAGCACGGAAGACCGUCCAUGUGCAGGUACGUUCCAAUAGCCAGCCUUCCCAAGAGCCAUCACUCUGAGCUGAAAGUCCCCAUGGGCUGGGGGAGGGACUGCCCUCCAGAUGUUGUUGGAAAUCUAACACAACCCCUCCCCAACUCCUUCUCCCACUUCCCGCUCCAUUUCCCCUAAAUAUUUACUGAUUUUUUAUUUACAUUCUUUGCCCGAGGUGCCCAGCCCCUGUCAGGUCCCAUUUGCUUGCCCGUCCCCUCCUGCCAGCUCCCCUCCACAUCCCUCACAUCUGGAGCCAGCAGUCCUGUGGGGCUGGCCACAACCUCCCCCCACCUCCAGUUCUGAGGGAAAAGGGGAGGGGAGACCAGUAGAUUGGUAGCUCUGGGCAGGGCUGGGGUGGGAGAGGCUCUGAGACAGGGGCAAUUCACAGGCAUGCCUGGCCUGCCCCAAUCUGGGAUCGCUUUAAUCACCCCCUUUGUUUCACGAGGACUUCUGGAUGGGGUUGAUGGAUGCCAGAUGCUGGGAGCACCCUUACCCUAGGAGGACUCCAGAAUGAAGGAGGGAGGAAGGGCGGAGGGUGAACCUCGACUGAACUGACAGCCAGGGAUCCAACUCUGUUUCUGGCAUAUGGGGCAGAAUUAGGGUUGCUGCCCUCGCGAGUUUGCUUCCUUCCAGCUGCGCAGGGAACCUGCUAGGAAAUCAAGUGUUCCUCUCCACUCGCAGCAACCAGCCCUUUGACUGCAGUGGGGCAGGUACUGUCCGGGGUGCUGACGUGAUGUCUGACAAUCAACGGAUUAUCUCUACUUACUUCUGAGGGACCACCCUGCAAUAUGGUUCUCCCGACGGUGCCUCUGAGUUUGGACUGUUUCCAUCCCGGUCCACCUGUGACCUAUAAAGUUUCUCUACUCCAGGAAGUCCCCUGGGACUGCUCUGAGGAACCAGUCUGGCUGUGUCUAGACAGUAGACACUCAUCUUUUCUCUUAAUUUUCCGGAGCAGAGAGAGAUGGUGCUGCCUACAUCCUCCCUGCCGUCUCCCACAAACCUUCCUCCUGCCAUCCUGAGUUUCUCAAAGAUUUUGUCUUCCUUUCUCUCCUCUUUCCCACUCACUUUCCACCCCCUGAAAAAACGGUCCAAAGACUCCACUUCUCCCCUCCAGAAUGACUUAUGACUGGACCAUUUCAAAGGUGCAAAGGCAACAAGUCCUGGGCUCCUGGGGCCUGGAUGCCUCGAAGGACUCACAGCAAGGCGGCUGUGAUGGGGUUCGAUGCACUAACGGUCCUGGCUGGCUACCCAGGAACCCUGUUUUUAAGUAGUGGUAACUAAUGACUGGCCCAAGAUAGAGGUGGGAUUCCUCUUCCCCGGCUGCCUCUGAUAGCUAGCCUCUCCCUACCCACAGGAGCCCAAGGCUCUGAAGACCUAUCUGGAUGUCUUUCCCCUGGGCACAUCACUCAUUCGAGUUUUGCUCCUUCAAACAGUUACUCAUCGAGCAUCCUCUACAUGCUGGAAACUGUGCUGGCCUGGGGACACUGAGAAAGCAACACGGUCUUGGCUUCUACCCAUGCACAGCCUGCGGCUCAGUGGAAAGCAAUGUCAAUCAUUCAGUCCACAACUGGAAGCAGAGUGACAGCCUGGAUCAGUGAAAAAAAAAAAAAAGAUGGCUCAGUGCAAACACUCAGAUCUUAGAUCUGACCAGCAUGGGGAAGUUGGAAGCCUUGUCCAAGGGAUGGAUGCACUAGAUGAAACCUGAGGGGAUGGGGAAACAGACAGACAGAAGGGAUGGUAUCUUCAAGGGUGCUGAAGCAGAAGGAAUAUAUGCAAGAUGCUGGAAGAAGAUGAGG